rnacentral:ncRNA from 1 species
AAAAUUAAACUCAAAAAAGGUGCCUGGAGACUUUGUCUGUCCAGGACAAUAGGGAAAUGGGUGAAAGUCCCAUACGGUCCCGCCGCUGUAAGGAAGGAGCUUAUUGCCCGCAUGCCACUGACUUUUUGUUGGGAAGGCAGGGCUUUAGGUGAGAAUGUCCAAGUCAGAAGACCUGCCUUUUUGGGUGGAAUUAC